rnacentral:rRNA from 1 species
UCAGACGAUGCGUCAUGCAUAUCAAUAAGCGGAGGAAAAGAAACUAACAAGGAUUCCCCUAGUAACGGCGAGUGAAGCGGGAAGAGCUCAAAUUUGAAAUCUUAAAGGGUUUCCCUUUACGAAUUGUAGUUUAAAGAAGUGUUUUCUGUUGAGGUUUUGGUAAAAGUUCUUUGGAAUAGGACAUCAUAGAGGGUGAGAAUCCCGUAUUUGACCUUUACUUUCAACUUUGUGAUACACUUUCAAAGAGUCGGAUUGUUUGGGAAUGCAGUCCAAAAUGGGUGGUAAAUUUCAUCUAAAGCUAAAUAUUGGCGAGAGACCGAUAGCGAACAAGUACCGUGAGGGAAAGAUGAAAAGAACUUUGGAAAAGAGAGUUAAACAGUACGUGAAAUUGUCAAAAGGGAAGCGUUUGACACCAGUGUUGUUUUUCUGAAAAUCAAUUAAAGAACUGUUUAUGCUAAGUUGUUUAGACUUUAUCAGCUAUCUGUUUAGUUUUGAGCCUUUCUUUAAUGCACUUUUCAGUUAACAAGUCAACAUCAAUUUCUUUUGCUGUAAAAAAGCUUGAGGAAGGUGGCUUGAGAUUCGUCUUAAGUGUUUAUAGCCUCUUGCCUAUGCAGUCGGAGAGAUUGAGGUCUGCAGCGUAGAUCCUUCGGGGCUAAAUGCAUUUGUGCUAAGUUAUAGCAUUUUAUAGACAACUUGUUGACUAUGAUUUGUCUUGUAGCUUACUCGCUUAUGUUAUUUUACCUACGCUUAGGAUGUUGAAUCUGUGCGAGACUAC